UGCAGGAUGAAGGUCCUAUGGAUUGUAAACUGCUUUUGUACGGGAAGAAACCCCUCCUCGUGAGGAGGGCUGACGGUACCGUGAGAAUAAGGAUCGGCUAACUCCGUGCCAGCAGCCGCGGUAAUACGGAGGAUCCGAGCGUUAUCCGGAUUUAUUGGGUUUAAAGGGUGCGUAGGCGGCGUGCUAAGUCAGGGGUGAAAGACGGUGGCUCAACCAUCGCAGUGCCUUUGAUACUGGUGCGCUUGAAUGCGGAUGAGGUAGGCGGAAUGUGGCAAGUAGCGGUGAAAUGCAUAGAUAUGCCACAGAACACCGAUUGCGAAGGCAGCUUACCAAGGCGCGAUUGACGCUGAUGCACGAAAGCGUGGGGAUCGAACAGGAUUAGAUACCCUGGUAGUCCACGCCCUAAACGA
rnacentral:rRNA from 1 species